UAAAUAUUAAAUCAUCAUUUUUCACUGCUGACUUAGCAUGCCACAUCGUCAUUUUUUACCCUCACUACUGUUCAUCUUCUUCUUCCCCUCCAUGCCACCUCUUGCUUCCACCAUUCUUCUUCUUCCUUUGCUCCCUGCUUCUAGCCACUGCCCUUUACCCACUGCCAUCAUCAUCAUCAUGCUGAAAGAGAGAGGAGAGUUGAAACUUCUUUUACCUCCAGUCGUCCACAGGAGAAGCAACUUCCCAGUUCUGAGCUAUGAAUAUGUUAUGGCAGCUGAGACAUUCAUGGAUGAUUAUAAUUUUGAUCAUACAAGUCAUUUGAUUAAGUCUUUACACUGCCGAAGCCGAGCCUCGUCAGAUUCUGUUGGAUACCGAUGUCGAUACCGACGAUUUCUUUGCUCUUUUCUUUCUGUUGAAGCUUAACAGAUCAGAGUUUCAUUUAGAGGGAAUCACUAUCAAUACAAAUGCAUGGACUGAUGCUGGUCAUGCAGUGGACCAAAUUUAUGACAUACUUUAUAUGAUGGACCGUGAUGAUAUACUUGUUGGAUUAGGAGGAGAAGGUGGAUCAUGGAAUACGAUACCAUACAACCAAAUAUUGGCGGAUAUCUUUUGCGGGAAAAUUAGUGUACCACUUUUUUUCAACGGUGGUUUAUAUUUUUCAUUUUUUCAAGGUUUUCCAGUUUUCAACUCUCCUCUCUCUUUCAACAUGAUGAUGACGAUGGCAGAGGGUAAAGGAAGAGACGGUGGAAUCGCUAGAAGCAGGGAGCAAAAGAAGAAGGGGGUGGAAGCAAAAGGUGGCAUGAAGGGGAAGAAGAUGAUGAACAAUAGUGAGGGUAAAAAGAAAGGGUCAAAAUUGAUGAUGUGGUAUGCCCAAUCAGCCAACGAUAGGGAUUUAACAUUUCCAUGACUAAAAUGAAAAACCUCCUAAACAGUAGUGAUCAAAUUGUAACUAUUUUUAUUUAUGUGGCUAAAAUGAAAGUACUCAAAAA